GCUUCGGACGUGGCCUGGGCUAUGUUGGCCCGCCUGCUACCACUCCGCGUCCUCCAGAUUCGUUCGUCGUAUAUCGUAUAGAAAAGAAAUACUCUUCUGUUCAUCUUCCUCCUCUAUCCCCAGCGGCGACUUAAUACUGCCUGAUAAAUUCCAGCAAUAAACCUAAUAAAUCGUAGCAUUCAAAAAGUGAAAACUGCUCAAGGGAGUUCAUCCGCUGCCGCCGUGCUCUGCAGCUUUAAAAGCAAGCCGUGGUGCCAUCCGCCUCCACACCAAUGCCAAGUGGCCUCGGUGCCGGUGCAUUCCCACUCCCCAUCCUACUUCCUCCUCCCCAUCAGAUUCCUCAAUAAAUCCGGAUUUUUUCUGCUCCUACCUCAGGCCUUCCGGAUUUUUGCUCGAAGUUUUAAAGCUGCAAGAUUCGGGCUGCUGCUACCUCAGGCCAUCCGGAUUUCUUGGGAUUUCUUCAUGUUUUCUUGGGAUUUCUUGCCUUCUCUGCCUGGUUGAUGGAUCUCAAUUUCCAUUGAUUGAAAUCUCGGUCUGCUGAUAAUCAUCGACGCUGCACAUCCCCCUCUUCAAUUGUGCUCUAAUUCCCUUUCUAAGAACUCUCCUGCACCGGCAUCUCUUCAUGUGUCCGAUGCGCUGCAUGGUCACAAAGUGGAGCCUGAGAAGAGUACGCCAAGUCGAUGGAUGGCAGGGGACAUCUGUGACUCUGUCCCAAGGCGAGUAUAGCCAGGGUCGAUUUGAUUUGAACCAAUGUGUUUGGGGCUGUGCAAGAACAAGUGGAUGACAUGCUGGAGACCGAAGGUUGAUCUAGACAUCAAGUUGAAUGAGUCUGAUGCCAAGUACUUUUGUUACGGUUUUGAAGUUGUUGACACAUCUGGCAGUGAAGCUCAAGGAUAAGGGUCUGCCUCGGCCGGUCGGACGAGUAUUUGUAGACGCAGGAUUGCAAGGAUGAACCUAUAUGGCCGCUCUCCAUCUCAUGGAAGGUUUGGCAUAUUCAAAAUGAAGACCUUGAAGGAGAUCAUUGCAACCUGAGCAAUGUAGACAUAUACUUGGCGCGGAUUUCCAAAGGUGUAUCUUGACGUGCUUUAUAUGGAAUGACUAAUUGGUUUUCUCGGCAAGCAGCAAUUGCUUAUUUAUUAUAUGUUUUCUUUUCAUCUUGCUAAAACAUGUGUUGUUGUUCGGACAGAUAAUUAGAGAUAAAGGAUUAUGUGUUUUAACUUUAGACAUGUAUAGUUGUAACCAGGGGCUUUCAUUGUUAAUAUGAUCAAUAGUAAUACUA